rnacentral:lncRNA from 1 species
GCUUUCUUCCCUUCCUUCUUCUCACUGCCACCACCAUUUAAACCUUUCCAGGCAAACAGCACUGACCUCUGCUUAGUGCCAAUAGACAACCAUCUUCUCUGGAUUCCAAAAUGGCACUGAUGCUGGGAGAAUAAAGGGGCCACAUUGGUUUCCAAGGAGAUAGGAAAUCUAAGGCAAGACCAGGAGGCCUGCUCUCAUCACUUCUCUGCUUAGGGAAGUUCAUUCAAAGUGGGCAAAUGGAAUUCUGUGUUACAUUUCAUUAGAGGAUCUCAAACUGUCCCUGCCUUUUCUUGGACCUAAGGACAUUCACCCAAGUCUUUUAGCAAGUUACCAUCCAGACUAGAAGCAAAAGACAUCUGUCUUCAUUAUCAAAUGAUGACUGCCCAGUCUAACUUCCCAUGUUCCAACCUGGUUGGCUGAUGUUAAGAAAAUCUUAGUAUUCCAAUGCUGCAGAUUGACACUGGAUGUCACUUAGUGGUAACACAUGAUAUGGCUAUUCUCUCUUAUCUCCAAGUUUUCUAAACACACUUGACCACUAAGAUCAGGACAGCAAUGGGUGUGGCUCAUAGAGAAUGAGAAAAUCAACUGGCCGAGCAGACAGGACAUUUCCUUUCCUCCCUAGCACUCAAAGUAGGUCCAGCCACCAGCUAUGGGCCACAGGGUGCCUUAGUGAACUGGAAGGUCCAGAGUGGGGUUCAUCCCUUUUACCUGAAGUCUUCCUAGAUUUGAGUUCCUGAAAGCAGAUAGGAGGGGCUCUGGAGAAGGCAUAGAGCUCUUCCUCAGUACUUAGAGUUUAGAUUAUAUCCUUGUUCAUAGUAACACUUGCCUACAGAGAGCUACAAUCCCAAAUUUUUAAAGACAAAAAGCUACGCUGCGGGUUCAGGUAGGGACAUCCCCAGGCCAUCUUAAAUGAACCAAUGCUUUAGAGAGAAUGCCAUUUAAUGAGAGUAGGCUAAGUGCUACUCAAGAAGAGAGAAAGCAGGCAGCACCAUGCAAGGAGUCCAUUCUCCAUUUUUUUGUGGUACCAGGGAUUGAACUCAGGGGCACUCAAUCACUGAGCCACAUCCCCAUCCCUAUUGUGUAUCUCAUCUAGAGACAGGCUCUUACUGAGUUGCUUAGUGCCUUGUUUUUGCUGAGGCUGGCUUUGAACUCGCCAUCUUCCUGCCUCAAACUCCCUAGCUGCUGGGAUUACAGGCAUGCGCCAC